AAGUCGUAACAAGGUUUCCGUUGGUGAACCUGCGGAAGGAUCAUUAACAAAUGUGAAAUAUUUAUAUAUAUAUACGAGCAAUGCAGUCGUCUGACUGGCAUAUAAAAUAUACAGCUUAUUUGUAGUAAUAAAAACAUAAUUUAUAUACAACUUUUAACAAUGGAUCUCUUGGCUCUC
rnacentral:misc_RNA from 1 species